UACGGGGGGGGCAAGCGUUGUUCGGAAUUACUGGGCGUAAAGGGCUCGUAGGCGGCCAACUAAGUCAUACGUGAAAUCCCUCAGCUUAACUGGGGAACUGCGUGUGAUACUGGAUGGCUUGGAUUUGGGAGAGGGAUGCGGAAUUCCAGGUGUAGCGGUGAAAUGCGUAGAUAUUGGGAAGAACACCGAUGGCGAAGGCAGCCAUCUGGACCGACACUGACGCUGAGGCGCGAAAGCGUGGGGAGCAAACAGG
rnacentral:rRNA from 1 species